GGAGGUGUCUGGGCACCUGGUGGUCCCCCCGGUCUUCAAAACCGGUGAGGCCGAGCAUCUCGGCCUGGCGGGUUCGAUUCCCGUCCACCUCCG
rnacentral:tRNA from 3 species